AAGUCGAACGAGCUUCCGUUGAAUGACGUGCUUGCACUGAUUUCAACAAUGAAGCGAGUGGCGAACUGGUGAGUAACACGUGGGAAAUCUGCCCAGAAGCAGGGGAUAACACUUGGAAACAGGUGCUAAUACCGUAUAACAACAAAAUCCGCAUGGAUUUUGUUUGAAAGGUGGCUUCGGCUAUCACUUCUGGAUGAUCCCGCGGCGUAUUAGUUAGUUGGUGAGGUAAAGGCCCACCAAGACGAUGAUACGUAGCCGACCUGAGAGGGUAAUCGGCCACAUUGGGACUGAGACACGGCCCAAACUCCUACGGGAGGCAGCAGUAGGGAAUCUUCCACAAUGGACGAAAGUCUGAUGGAGCAAUGCCGCGUGAGUGAAGAAGGGUUUCGGCUCGUAAAACUCUGUUGUUAAAGAAGAACACCUUUGAGAGUAACUGUUCAAGGGUUGACGGUAUUUAACCAGAAAGCCACGGCUAACUACGUGCCAGCAGCCGCGGUAAUACGUAGGUGGCAAGCGUUGUCCGGAUUUAUUGGGCGUAAAGCGAGCGCAGGCGGUUUUUUAAGUCUGAUGUGAAAGCCUUCGGCUUAACCGGAGAAGUGCAUCGGAAACUGGGAGACUUGAGUGCAGAAGAGGACAGUGGAACUCCAUGUGUAGCGGUGGAAUGCGUAGAUAUAUGGAAGAACACCAGUGGCGAAGGCGGCUGUCUAGUCUGUAACUGACGCUGAGGCUCGAAAGCAUGGGUAGCGAACAGGAUUAGAUACCCUGGUAGUCCAUGCCGUAAACGAUGAGUGCUAAGUGUUGGAGGGUUUCCGCCCUUCAGUGCUGCAGCUAACGCAUUAAGCACUCCGCCUGGGGAGUACGACCGCAAGGUUGAAACUCAAAGGAAUUGACGGGGGCCCGCACAAGCGGUGGAGCAUGUGGUUUAAUUCGAAGCUACGCGAAGAACCUUACCAGGUCUUGACAUCUUCUGCCAAUCUUAAAGAUAAGACGUUCCCUUCGGGGACAGAAUGACAGGUGGUGCAUGGUUGUCGUCAGCUCGUGCCGGGAAAUGUUGGGUUAAGUCCCGCAACGAGCGCAACCCUUAUUAUCAGUUGCCAGCAUUCCAUUGGGCACUCCGGUGAAAAUGCCGGGGAC
rnacentral:rRNA from 2 species